UACGGAGGGAGCUAGCGUUGUUCGGAAUCAUUGGGCGUAAAGCGCGUGUAGGUGGCUAGUUAGGUUGGGUGUGAAAUCCCCGGGCUCAACCCAGGAAGUGCACUCAAAACUGGCUGGCUAGAAGAUAGUAGAGGAUGGUGGAAUUCCAAGUGUAGAGGUGAAAUUCGUAGAUAUUUGGAGGAAUACCGGCGGCGAAGGCGGCCAUCUGGGCUAUUCUUGACACUGAGACGCGAAAGCGUGGGUAGCAAACAGG
rnacentral:rRNA from 1 species